rnacentral:rRNA from 1 species
UACGGGGGGAGCAAGCGUUGUUCGGAUUUACUGGGCGUAAAGGGCGCGUAGGCGGUCAGCACAAGUCAGUUGUGAAAUCUCCGAGCUUAACUCGGAAAGGUCAACUGAAACUGUGCGACUAGAGUGCGGAAGGGGCAACUGGAAUUCUUGGUGUAGCGGUGAAAUGCGUAGAUAUCGGGAGGAACACCGGUGGCGAAGGCGGUUCUCUGGGCCUUACCUGACGCUGAGGAGCGAAAGCGUGGGGAGCGAACAGG